rnacentral:rRNA from 1 species
GUACGGCGAGUGAGCGGCAAAAGCUCAAAUUUGAAAUCUGGUACCUUCGGUGCCCGAGUUGUAAUUUGGAGAGGGCAACUUUGGGGCCGUUCCUUGUCUAUGUUCCUUGGAACAGGACGUCAUAGAGGGUGAGAAUCCCGUGUGGCGAGGAGUGCGGUUCUUUGUAAAGUGCCUUCGAAGAGUCGAGUUGUUUGGGAAUGCAGCUCUAAGUGGGUGGUAAAUUCCAUCUAAAGCUAAAUAUUGGCGAGAGACCGAUAGCGAACAAGUACAGUGAUGGAAAGAUGAAAAGAACUUUGAAAAGAGAGUGAAAAAGUACGUGAAAUUGUUGAAAGGGAAGGGCAUUUGAUCAGACAUGGUGUUUUGUGCCCUCUGCUCCUUGUGGGUAGGGGAAUCUCGCAUUUCACUGGGCCAGCAUCAGUUUUGGUGGCAGGAUAAAUCCAUAGGAAUGUAGCUUGCCUCGGUAAGUAUUAUAGCCUGUGGGAAUACUGCCAGCUGGGACUGAGGACUGCGACGUAAGUCAAGGAUGCUGGCAUAAUGGUUAUAUGCCGCCCGUCUU